GCCGCCAUCGUCUAGUGGUCUAGGACGUCUGGUUCUCAACCAGAAAAUCGGGAGUUCGAUUCUCCCUGGCGGCA
rnacentral:tRNA from 1 species